GCGGGGCCGCAGCGGGCUGGGGCGCCGGCCGUUAGCUGCCCGGGCAAAGGCGCCCCGCGCCCUACCCGCUCCCACAGCAUCAACGGGGGAGAGACAGCGGAUGAGGCGCCGGGAGCAGACAAUCCCGCUUCCCUCGGCGGGCAGCCGGUGAUAACGAAUCACCCUCCUGCGCCUUCGUUGCCGGGGGGUCUACAUUCUCUCGCGGAAGGUUAUCGUUCGUUGGGACGGCGGAACUGGCAGGAAGCGGUGCUGAGGUUCUGAGACAGCGCUUUGUCAAGGACGGCCUGAUUGGCUAAAGGGACUCUGCAAUGGUUAGCUGGUGAGAAGGAUUCCUCAGGAAGACCUUAUUACUUUGCUUUUGAAAAGUUUGAGACCAGAAAGCCAACUGUAUCCUGGGCAGCAUCAAAAGGAGUGUGACCAGCAG